rnacentral:lncRNA from 1 species
GGGAUGCAAAAGGCUGCUGAUUCACUUGAUUAUAUCAUUGACACUGUGCCUGUUUUUCACCCACUUGAGCCUUACCUUUCAUUGUUGAAACUCGACGGCAAGUUAAUCUUGACUGGUGUUAUUAACACCCCUCUUCAGUUUGUUUCCCCUAUGGUCAUGCUUGGUGAGUCUAUUUCUUUAACUUUGAACCUAUAUAUAGAUGCUUCUUUGUUGGCUGCUCUGGUUUUUUUUGAGUGGAAGGCUAAUUCUCUGUUUUCCCUGCCCAAAAUUUGUAUAGGGAGAAAGUCGAUUACAG